GACGAACGCUGGCGGCGUGCUUAACACAUGCAAGUCGAACGAUGAUGCCAGCUUGCUGGUGGAUUAGUGGCGAACGGGUGAGUAACACGUGAGCAACCUGCCCCUGACUUCGGGAUAACCGCGGGAAACCGUGGCUAAUACCGGAUAUUACGCGCUAUCGCGUGGUGGGGUGUGGACAGAUUUAUCGGUUGGGGAUGGGCUCGCGGCCUAUCAGCUUGUUGGUGGGGUGAUGGCCUACCAAGGCGACGACGGGUAGCCGGCCUGAGAGGGUGACCGGCAAAGCUGGGACUGAGACACGGCCCAGACUCCUACGGGAGGCAGCAGUGGGGAAUAUUGCACAAUGGCGCAAGCCUGAUGGAGCGACGCCGCGUGAGGGAUGACGGCCUUCGGGUUGUAAACCUCUUUCAGUAGGGAAGAAGGCCUUCGGGUUGACGGUACCUGCAGAAGAAGCGCCGGCUAACUACGUG
rnacentral:rRNA from 1 species